ACCUGAACCUGGACCCCUGGAAUCUAAAGUAAAGAUUGAAAUUAUUUUUACAAAAGAAUUUUCUUUUCUUGUGUAGUCUCUGUCUGGAUUUAGUAUCAGGGUAGAAUUUGGCAGUCUCAUCCUCCUGGGCUCAAAUGAUCCUCCCGCCUCAGCCUCCCCAAGUGCUAGGGUUACAGACAUGAGCCACUGCACCACGCCUUUGAAAAGAUUUUAA
rnacentral:lncRNA from 1 species